GUUGCUUCUCAGCCUUUUGGCUAAGAUCAAGUGUAAACUGUUUCCUAUCUAGAGUUACCCUAAAAUUGAAAAAAAUCGAUAUUUAACUUAUUUCCUGACCUUUGUUUUUUAUUCAUUGUGGGCCCUUGGCCAUCUGUAAAGAUGCAUUGACUCUUACUGAUUUUUUUCUGAGGAGAGCUAUCUUUG
rnacentral:snRNA from 1 species